rnacentral:rRNA from 1 species
GACGAACGCUGGCGGCGUGCUUAACACAUGCAAGUCGAACGGAAAGGCCCUGCUUUUGUGGGGUGCUCGAUUGGCGAACGGGUGAGUAACACGUGAGUAACCUGCCCUUGACUUUGGGAUAACUUCAGGAAACUGGGGCUAAUACCGGAUAGGAGCUCCUGCUGCAUGGUGGGGGUUGGAAAGUUUCGGCGGUUGGGGAUGGACUCGCGGCUUAUCAGCUUGUUUGUGGGGUAGUGGCUUACCAAGGCUUUGACGGGUAGCCGGCCUGAGAGGGUGACCGGGCACAUUGGGACUGAGAGAGGGCCCAGACUCCUACGGGAGGCAGCAGGGGGGAAUAUGGCACAAUGGGCGGAAGCCUGAUGCAGAAACGCCGGGUGCGGGAUGCCGGCCUUCGGGUGGUAAACCGAUUUCGCCUGUGACGAAGCGUGAGUGACGGUAACGGGUAAAGAAGCACCGGCUAACUACGUG